rnacentral:rRNA from 1 species
UAGGGAAUCUUCGGCAAUGGGGGGAACCCUGACCGAGCAACGCCGCGUGAGUGAAGAAGGUUUUCGGAUCGUAAAGCUCUGUUGUUAAGGAAGAACGAGUGUGAGAAUGGAAAGUUCAUGCUGUGACGGUACUUAACCAGAAAGGGACGGCUAACUACGUGCCAGCAGCCGCGGUAAUACGAAGGGGGCUAGCGUUGUUCGGAUUUACUGGGCGUAAAGCGCACGUAGGCGGACUAUUAAGUCAGGGGUGAAAUCCCGGGGCUCAACCCCGGAACUGCCUUUGAUACUGGUAGUCUUGAGUUCGAGAGAGGUGAGGGGAAUUCCGGGUGUAGAGGUGAAAUUCGUAGAUAUUCGGAGGAACACCAGUGGCGAAGGCGGCUCACUGGCUCGAUACUGACGCUGGGGUGCGAAAGCGUGGGGAGCAAACAGG